GUGAUCGUCCUUGGAAAACGAUGUCUGCCUUCGUCAGAAGCGGUCUGGAAAACCCGGACUGCUAGACGGCCUGUAACAGUGUGGUGUCCAUAUUUGUCUCUACUCGGGUGAUAACAUCGAUGAAGAUUCAAACCAUUGAAUUGGUCAUCUGUUUGGACGAUGGAAUAUUGACGGAGGAGUCUGCUGCUUCAGUUUUCAAGAGCAUAGGUUGAUGUGAGACUGAUGUGACCUCAUUCGUAAGAAGUCGAAUAUUCUCGCCUGGAAGUCUUUCGUGGAUCGGAAGAAACAAAUAUAUGGAAUCUGGGACCCCGAAAUUGAGCAGCUGCGAUGGUUCUGGGCUUCUAAUGCUACCUUGGAUUUCCCUUAGGUUUCUUAACUGUCUUGGAUGAGGUUAACAAUGAACUAUGCUUUUAAAACUA